rfam:Cavia porcellus supercont2_19 genomic scaffold, whole genome shotgun sequence.
UGGUGCCCAGCAUGGGGGCUACCUGGCAUGGGGGAGUCAAUGAGGGAGCCAUUCGAGAAUGCCAGCUAAAAAUGAAAGAAAAUUGAACCAAGGACUGAGACCUGCACGGACAAUCACCCAACAAGCCACCCAAGUCAUGGUGAGUGAACGGCAACCCCAUUCUCUUUCCUCGACAUGGGUCAAGCAUUGAGCGAACAUCAGUUGUUCAUGGGAGGCCUUAGCAAGGCAUUAAAGACAUGAGGGGUAAGGGUUAGAACAAAAGAAUUAUUGCAGUAUUUUCAAUUUAUACAUAAAGUUUG